UAACCGGGCGUUAAGUUGCAGGGUAUAGACCCGAAACCCGGUGAUCUAGCCAUGGGCAGGUUGAAGGUUGGGUAACACUAACUGGAGGACCGAACCGACUAAUGUUGAAAAAUUAGCGGAUGACCUGUGGCUGGGGGUGAAAGGCCAAUCAAACCGGGAGAUAGCUGGUUCUCCCCGAAAGCUAUUUAGGUAGCGCCUCGUGAAUUCAUCUCCGGGGGUAGAGCACUGUUUCGGCUAGGGGGCCAUCCCGGCUUACCAACCCGAUGCAAACUGCGAAUACCGGAGAAUGUUAUCACGGGAGACACACGGCGGGUGCUAACGUCCGUCGUGAAGAGGGAAACAACCCAGACCGCCAGCUAAGGUCCCAAAGUCAUGGUUAAGUGGGAAACGAUGUGGGAAGGCCCAGACAGCCAGGAUGUUGGCUUAGAAGCAGCCAUCAUUUAAAGAAAGCGUAAUAGCUCACUGGUCGAGUCGGCCUGCGCGGAAGAUGUAACGGGGCUAAACCAUGCACCGAAGCUGCGGCAGCGACGCUGAUGCGUUGUUGGGUAGGGGAGCGUUCUGUAAGCCUGCGAAGGUGUGUCGUGAGGCAUGCUGGAGGUAUCAGAAGUGCGAAUGCUGACAUAAGUAACGAUAAAGCGGGUGAAAAGCCCGCUCGCCGGAAGACCAAGGGUUCCUGUCCAACGUUAAUCGGGGCAGGGUGAGUCGACCCCUAAGGCGAGGCCGAAAGGCGUAGUCGAUGGGAAACGGGUUAAUAUUCCCGUACUUGGUGUUACUGCGAAGGGGGGACGGAGAAGGCUAUGUUGGCCGGGCGACGGUUGUCCCGGUUUAAGCGUGUAGGUGUGUGUUCCAGGUAAAUCCGGUUCACUUUAACACUGAGGCGUGAUGACGAGGCACUACGGUGCUGAAGCAACAAAUGCCCUGCUUCCAGGAAAAGCCUCUAAGCAUCAGGUAACAUCAAAUCGUACCCCAAACCGACACAGGUGGUCAGGUAGAGAAUACCAAGGCGCUUGAGAGAACUCGGGUGAAGGAACUAGGCAAAAUGGUGCCGUAACUUCGGGAGAAGGCACGCUGACACGUAGGUGAAGUGAUUUACUCAUGGAGCUGAAGUCAGUCGAAGAUACCAGCUGGCUGCAACUGUUUAUUAAAAACACAGCACUGUGCAAACACGAAAGUGGACGUAUACGGUGUGACGCCUGCCCGGUGCCGGAAGGUUAAUUGAUGGGGUCAGCGCAAGCGAAGCUCCUGAUCGAAGCCCCGGUAAACGGCGGCCGUAACUAUAACGGUCCUAAGGUAGCGAAAUUCCUUGUCGGGUAAGUUCCGACCUGCACGAAUGGCGUAAUGAUGGCCAGGCUGUCUCCACCCGAGACUCAGUGAAAUUGAACUCGCUGUGAAGAUGCAGUGUACCCGCGGCAAGACGGAAAGACCCCGUGAACCUUUACUAUAGCUUGACACUGAACAUUGAGCCUUGAUGUGUAGGAUAGGUGGGAGGCUUUGAAGUGUGGACGCCAGUCUGCAUGGAGCCGGCCUUGAAAUACCACCCUU
rnacentral:rRNA from 1 species